UCAGACGAUGCGUCAUGCAUAUCAAUAAGCGGAGGAAAAGAAACUAACUAGGAUUCCCUCAGUAACGGCGAGUGAAGCGGGAAGAGCUCAAAUUUGAAAUCUUCAAGGGUUCUACCUUUACGAAUUGUAGUUUAAAGAAGUGUUUUCUGUUAGAGUUUCGGUAAAAGUUCUUUGGAAUAGGACAUCAUAGAGGGUGAGAAUCCCGUAUUUGACCGUUAUUUCUAGCUUUGUGAUACACUUUCAAAGAGUCGGAUUGUUUGGGAAUGCAGUCCAAAAUGGGUGGUAAAUUUCAUCUAAAGCUAAAUAUUGGCGAGAGACCGAUAGCGAACAAGUACCGUGAGGGAAAGAUGAAAAGAACUUUGAAAAGAGAGUUAAACAGUACGUGAAAUUGUCAAAAGGGAAGCGUUUGACACCAGUGUUGUUUUCUCGAAAAUCAAUUAAAAAAGGCAGGAUUUUGUGUUGUAUUGACUUUAUCAGCUUUCUGCACUCUUUUCUUGUCUUUUUUUAAUGCACUUUUCGUUUAACAAGUCAACAUCAAUUUCUUUUGUUGUAAAAGGGUCAUUGGAAGGUGGCUUUCUUUUCGGAGAAAGUGUUUAUAGCCUUUGGCCUCUGCAAUCGGAGAGAUUGAGGUCUGCAGCGUAGAUCCUUCGGGGUUAGAUACAUUUGUGCUAAGUUAUAGUCCUUUCAUAGACAACUUGUUGACUAUAAUCUAGUCAUGUAGCUUACUCGCUUAUGCUAUUUUACCUACGCUUAGGAUGUUGAUCUACAGAGCGAGAGU
rnacentral:rRNA from 1 species